GCAAGGGGCACUUUGAGCCAGGGAGUUAGGGGCACAGGAGCUGUGAUGUGACUGCCCCACCCCUAGGAAACUGAGUUCCUUCCAGGGGAAAGUCACUGUCUCUCUCCCAGAGCCUCCCACGGCUCAGGGGCUCUUGAGAGAUGCCUUCGUGGGUGAGUUUGAUUUUUGGAAACUGCCAGAGUGUUCUGGAGUGGGGUCUAGUGAAUGAAGUGGGUGACUAAGCUGAUUUAGGUCAUCUGUUAUUGCAAACAAACAAAAAAACACCCCAGCAUAAUUACUAAAAAACCCCACACAAAACCAGCAGAUAUUCUCGUUUGACUUGUUAACUGGCUUCUAAGGGAGGAGUCAGAACUCCUCCUGCUAAAACACAAUGGAAGCUUUGGCAACUUGGGACAACAAGGAUGCUUUUCUCAAGGGGACUGCAUUGAAAAACCCACACUUGGAGCCACCAAGUUCUGGUGCAUUUGCCUGAAAACAAAUAGCUCUCCCCAUGGCAGCACUGAAUGGGAGUUUAGAGCAAGCACACACAGUGAGUGGAAGAAAUCAGACAGCAGAAAUGGAACGCCGACCGCUCAGAGAGGGGAAUGAUCCAGAAGCGAUGUCAGGAUCUUGUAGAGCCUGGGGUGUUGUUCAGACCCCCAGGGACGGUAUCUCCCUUGGGUAGCAGGAGAGUGAUGAACCCACAGAGACAGUGGGCUGGUCGAGUCCCUGUCUCCAGGUUUUCAAUCCCACAAGUCUUUAAAAGAGAAAUGCGUGGUGUGGGGAUAAGAUGACAGGCCUUGGAGACAUGGAGUCCUGGCUUUACUGUUUGUUGUAUGAGUUUGGGAGCAUCUUCCUUGCUGAAGCUCAUUUCCUCAUCUGUAGAGUGGGGAUGACACCUGCUUCUCUCCUAUUAUCUACUUCCCUCUCAGAAGAUAGAGGAGAACCCUUCAGUAAGCAUGCAAAAAAUCAUAGCUCCUUACUUCCUUUUGGCUUGCCCCAGGCGGGUGAAAUGUCUGAGCAACAAAGAUCCUAAUGGCAUUAUGAGUAGCCUGGCUACCUGGCCAGGGAGGUGACAAAAAACACAAACAAAGAGGUCUGAGGCCAACUUCGCCCACAUCAUUAUCUCACUGAGGUGAGACUGUGUCCACCUCUCACUGCCCCUUACUUGUCCCACCUUCAGGGUUUUCUGCAGCUGAAAGGCCUGCUCUGCAGGACUCCUGGGGCUGAGUUCCUGCCUGGCUCCUCACCCCCCACCUCUCCAGGUGCCCCAGAGCAAGUGCAGGCCCCUCUCUGGGACUCAUUUCCUCAGAAUCACAAGGGCUCGGGAAACGGAUGAUGCCAGGAGAGUGAGAUUCUGGUGCUCUCCUUCCUGGCUGUCUCUGCCAAGGUCACUUCUCAGCUGCUCUGAAAGCCCCUGGAGGACAAGGCAUGCACUGUGACCUUUCCAGGGAGCAGCCUGUCCCCCCCCCGUACUGGCCCCAGCCCCCAUCCCUGCUUCCACUGCCAGAUGGGUGCCGCUCACUUGGCUCCAGGAAAGCCCUCAGUAGGAAGCUCGUGAAAAUACUAGAACAGAAGUCAGUCCCUCCCUCCCGCUACUUGGCUCUUCUUUCCGCCGUCUGUCUGUCCCGCCCCCUCUCUCUGAUGCUCCCCUUCCCUCCAUCUCUCUGGUCCUCCCUUCUCUCUUCUCCUUACCCCAGACACAGAACCCAGAAGAGCCAGCAGUAACAGACGGUUAGAGCUACAGCCUGGGAGACAGGGUGGCGCAAGUUGGCACCGUGGGUCUGCUGUCCGGGCACUGCGCGCCUCCAGAGCGUGAGGCCGAUGACGCUGUAGGCGACGAACAUCACCGCGAGCGGCAGGAAGUAGAUGAGGGCGAUCACCACGAGUGAAAGAACCUGUCAACCUUGAUGUUACUCCACAAAUCGUGAGCCGUGACGCACAUAGCGUUCUUGCCUGUUCUGGAGGGCUGCCUUUCGUUGUCUUGCUGGAGCACGAAUACCCUUUCCCUAUGGUAUCUAAGCGUUGCGUGUGGGGAGUGAGAAUGCAGAGCUCCACCUGUCUUGUGGCCAUCCAAGAUCCUGCUUCUGUCUGUAAAUUCCCUCAAUAAAUCACCCAAUACUAACAAACUGGAUUUGUUCUGCCUCCUUCUUUGGGUCUCAGCUCCUUUGGCAUUCGGGGAUCCCUUUCAUAGAACAGAGUCCUUGGAACAUUCCACCAAAGGGGCCUGAGACCCCUGGUCCUGUCAUAUGACUUUUUCUUUCUUACUGGGAGGACUGAGGUGUUCCCAAACCUCCUGCAUCUACCUGCCACGUGCUGGCCUUGCUGGGCCCCUUUCUAGAGGUGCUGCCACCCCAAGGGAAGGGGACCCAUGGUGAAACCACCUUUGUAAAAUUAUAACGGAGGAAAUUAUGACAGUGAAAGAAAUCAGACCUAACCGACUCUGUCUUGCUUCUAACCCUUAAGCUGUCCUUGUUCAUGCCUGGGCGUAGGCUGAGCUAUCUUUGGGAAGGAAUUCAGUUCAUAAUUUUACUCUGAAACAAAAGUGACAAUAGCCCUUUCCCGAAAAGACCCCCUACUUGCCUGGGGUCCAAUCUGCCUUUCCAGCACUAACAAAUUAGCUACAAGAAUAGAAAUUAAUUUAGGGGUCAUGCAGCCUCCGGCUCCAAGAGUUUGAACCUCCCCAAAUUCCUGGGAGUAACAUCACUAUAGUAAAACCUAAGAUGAGUGCUUGAGAUAUUUUCCAGACCCUGCACUCGUGGAUCAGCUGACACCACCCAGGCCAGCAAUCUGACUCAACCAG